UGAGUACGAGAUGCUACGGCAUCGAAGCAGUCUAUGUCAUACUUCCAAGAAAAGCUUGCACUGUCAGAAACAGAUAAUGCCUGUACCAUAACCGACACAGGUGGGUAGGUAGAGUAUACUAAGGGGCGCGAGAUAACUCUCUCUAAGGAACUCGGCAAAAUGACUCCGUAACUUCGGGAGAAGGAGUGCCUUAUUUUUAAGGUUGCAAUAACAAGAUCCAAGCAACUGUUUACCAAAAACACAGGUCUCCGCUAAGUCGUAUGACGAUGUAUGGGGGCUGACGCCUGCCCAGUGCCAGAAGGUUAAAGAAGUCGGUUAGCAUUCGCGAAGCUGGUAACUGAAGCCCUGGUGAACGGCGGCCGUAACUAUAACGGUCCUAAGGUAGCGAAAUUCCUUGUCGGGUAAGUUCCGACCCGCACGAAAGGCGUAAUGAUUUGGAUACUGUCUCGGAGAGGGGCUCGGUGAAAUAGACUUGUCUGUGAAGAUGCGGACUACCUGCACCUGGACAGAAAGACCCUAUGAAGCUUUACUGUAACUUGAAAUUGAAAUUGGACUUUAUUUGCGCAGUAUAGGUGGGAGGCGUUGAAAAUACUCUUGCGGGAAUAUUGGAGCCAUCAGUGAGAUACCACUCUUGUAAUGUUAGAUUCUAACUUUAUAUCAUUAUCUGGUUAAAGAACAGUUUCAGGCGGGCAGUUUGACUGGGGCGGUCGCCUCCCAAAUGGUAACGGAGGCGCACAAAGGUUUCCUCUAACGGGUAGAAAUCGUAUCUAGAGUGUAAAGGCAUAAGGAAGCUUGACUGUGAGACCUACAAGUCGAGCAGGGACGAAAGUCGGUCUUAGUGAUCUGACGGUGCUGAGUGGAAAGGCCGUCACUCAACGGAUAAAAGUUACUCUAGGAUAACAGGCUGAUCUCCCCCAAGAGUUCACAUCGACGGGGAGGUUUGGCACCUCGAUGUCGGCUCAUCGCAUCCUGGGGCGGUAGUACGUCCCAAGGGUUGGGCUGUUCGCCCAUGAAAGCGGUACGCGAGCUGGGUUCAGAACGUCGUGAGACAGUUCGGUCCAUAUCCGGUGUAGGCGUUAGAAUAUUGAGAGGAGCCUUCUUUAGUACGAGAGGACCGAGAAGGACAUACCUCUGGUGUACCAGUUAUCGUGCCAACGGUAAACGCUGGGUAGCUAUGUAUGGAGUGGAUAACCGCUGAAAGCAUCUAAGUGGGAAGCCCACCUCAAGAUAAG
rnacentral:rRNA from 1 species